GACGAACGCUGGCGGCGUGCCUAAUACAUGCAAGUUGAGCGCUGAAGGUUGGUACUUGUACCAACUGGAUGAGCAGCGCACGGGUGAGUAACGCGUGGGGAAUCUGCCUUUGAGCGGGGGACAACAUUUGGAAACGAAUGCUAAUACCGCAUAAAAACUUUAAACACAAGUUUUAAGUUUGAAAGAUGCAAUUGCAUCACUCAAAGAUGAUUCCGCGUUGUAUUAGGUAGGUGGUGAGGUAAAGGCUCACCAAGGCGAUGAUACAUAGCCGACCGGAGAGGGUGGUCGGCCGCAUUGGGACGGGGACACGGCCCAAACUCCUUCGGGAGGCGGCAAGAGGGAAACUUCGGCAAGGGGCGGAAGUCUGACCGAACAACGCCGCGGGAGGGAAGAAGGUUUUCGGAUCGGAAAACUCUGUUGGUAGGGAAGAACGGUGGUGAGAGUGGAAAGCUCAUCAAGUGACGGUAACUACCCAGAAAGGAACGGCUAACUACGUG
rnacentral:rRNA from 1 species